rnacentral:rRNA from 1 species
UACGGAGGAUGCAAGCGUUAUCCGGAAUUAUUGGGCGUAAAGCGUCCGCAGGUGGUUAUCCAAGUCUGCUGUUAAAGCGCGAGGCUUAACUUCGUACAGGCAGUGGAAACUGGGUGACUGGAGUAUGGUAGGGGUAGCGGGAAUUCCCAGUGUAGCGGUGAAAUGCGUAGAUAUUGGGAAGAACACCGGUGGCGAAGGCGCUCUGCUAGGCCGUAACUGACACUGAGGGACGAAAGCUAGGGGAGCGAAUGGG